rnacentral:rRNA from 1 species
GACGAACGCUGGCGGCGUGCUUAACACAUGCAAGUCGAACGAUGAAGCGGGUGCUUGCACUCGUGGAUUAGUGGCGAACGGGCGAGUAACACGUGAGUAACCUGUCCUUUUCUUUGGGAUAACGGCUGGAAACGGCUGCUAAUACUGGAUAUUCAGGCUGCAUCGCAUGGUGUGGUUUGGAAAGGUUUUUUCUGGGAUUGGGUGGGCUCGCGGCCUAUCAGCUUGUUGGUGGGGUGAUGGCUUACCAAGGCUUUGACGGGUAGCCGGCCUGGGAGGGUGGUCGGUCGCACUGGGACUGAGAUACGGCCCAGACUCCUACGGGAGGCAGCAGUGGGGAAUAUUGCACAAUGGACGAAAGUUUGAUGCAGCGACGCCGCGUGGAGGGUGUAGGCCUUCGGGUUGUGAACUCCUUUUUCUCGCGAAAAAGGCACAGUUUUGGCUGUGUUGAUGGUAGUGGGGGAAGAAGCGCCGGCUAACUACGUG